AGCUCCAAUAGCGUAUAUUAAAGUUGUUGCGGUUAAAAAGCUCGUAGUUGGAUUUCUGCCGAGCGUCUGCCGGUUCGUACCAUGUACGAUAUCUGGUUUGAUCUUGGCAUCCUCUUGAAGUACGUGUGUGUCCUUAAUUGGGUGUGCAUGGAAUUCAAGACUUUUACUUUGAGGAAAUUGGAGUGUUUACGGCAAGCAAAUGCUUUGAACACAUUAGCAUGGAAUAAUAAUAUAGGACCUUGGGGCUAUUUUAUUGGUUUCUAGAACUAAGGUAAUGAUUAAUAGGGUCAGUUGGGGGCAUUCGUAUUAACGUGUCAGAGGUGGAAUUCUUGGAUUACGUUACGACGAACUACUGCGAAAGCAUUUGCCAAGGAUGUUUUCA
rnacentral:rRNA from 1 species